AGAGUUUGAUCAUGGCUCAGGAUGAAUGCUGGCGGCGUGCUUUAUAUAUGCAAGUCACGGGGGUGUAGCAAUACACAACCGGCGGACGGGUGAGUAAUAUAUGGGAAUUUUCCUCGAAGUGGGGUAUAGCUUUCCGAAAGGAAGGGUAAUCCCCCAUGUGAUCGCAAGAUUAAAGCCGCAAGGCGCUUCGAGAUAAGCCUGUAUCCUAUCAGCUUGUUGGUGAGGUAAUGGCUCACCAAGGCGACGACGGGUAGCUGGUCUGAGAGGAUGGUCAGCCACAAUGGAACUGAGACACGGUCCAUACAUCUACGGAUGGCGCAGUAGGGAAUCGUUGACAAUGGGCGAAAGCCUGAUCACGCGACGCCGCGUGGGGGAUCGAAGGCCUUCGGGUCGUAAACCCCUUUUAUCUGGGAAGAUUAUGACGGUACCAGAUGAAUAAGCACCUGCUAAUCACGUGCCAGAAGCCUCGGUAAGACGUGAGGUGCAAGCAUUAUCCGGAUUCACUGGGCGUAAAGUGUUGCGUAGGCUGAUUUGCGCAUUUUACUUAAAAUGCUAUGGCUUAACCAUAGUUUUGGGUAAAAUAUGGCAAAUCUUGUAGGAUAGAGAGGGUACUGGAACUGAUCAUGUAGCAGUGAAAUGCGUUGAUAUGAUUAGGAACACCAAAGGCGUAGGCAGGUACCUGGCUAUCUCUAGACGCUGAGGCACGAAAGCUUGGGGAGCGAAGCAGAUUAGAGACCUGCGUAGUCCAAGCCGUAAACGAUGGGCGUUAGUUACCGGGAUUUAUCUCGGUGACGUAAGCUAACGCGUUAAACGUCCCGCCUGGGGAGUACGAACGCAAGUUUAAAACUCAAAGGAAUUGACGGGGAGGCGCACAAGCAGUGGAGCAUGUGGUUUAAUUCGAUACAAAGCGAAAAACCUCACCAGGGUUUGACAUGUAGAUGCUAAUCCCGUGAAAGCGGGACUCCUUCGAGGGUUCUACACAGAUGCUGCAUGGCUGUCAUCAGUUCGUGGCGUGAGCUGUACCGUUUAGUCGGAUAACGAACGCAACCCGCACCGUAUGUUAAAUAAAUCAUGCGGAACUGCCCCAUUUAUUGGGGAGGAAGGCGCGGAUGAUGUCAAGUCAGCACGGCUCUUACACCCUGGGCUACACACAUCCUACAAUGGCGAACAACAACGAGUUGCAAACGGGUGACCGCAAGCUAAUCUCUGAAAUUUCGCCUCAGUUCAGAUCGGAGUCUGCAAUUCGACUCCGUGAAGCCGGAAUUGCUAGUAUCGCGAAUCAGCAGGUCGCGGUGAAUACGUUCUCGCCUCUUGUACACACCGCCCGUCAAGGCAGCAAAGUUGGGGGUACCCGAAUGGCCCUACAGGGUCAGAAGGUAAAACCAGCGAUGAAGCUUAAGUCGUAACAAGGUA
rnacentral:rRNA from 1 species